UCCCUGGAGGACGAGUGGUUAGGCCACGGCACGCUCACCGCCAUAGCCUGGGUUCGAUUCCCGGCCAGGGAA
rnacentral:tRNA from 1 species